CCUACGGGAGGCUGCAGUGGGGAAUAUUGGACAAUGGGGGCAACCCUGAUCCAGCCAUGCCGCGUGUGUGAAGAAGGCCCUCGGGUUGUAAAGCACUUUCAGUGAGGAAGAACGCCUGGUGGUUAAUACCCAUCAGGAAAGACAUCACUCACAGAAGAAGCACCGGCUAACUCCGUGCCAGCAGCCGCGGUAAUACGGAGGGUGCGAGCGUUAAUCGGAAUUACUGGGCGUAAAGCGCGCGUAGGUGGCUUGAUAAGCCGGUUGUGAAAGCCCCGGGCUCAACCUGGGAACGGCAUCCGGAACUGUCAAGCUAGGGUGCAGGAGAGGAAGGUAGAAUUCCCGGUGUAGCGGUGAAAUGCGUAGAGAUCGGGAGGAAUACCAGUGGCGAAGGCGGCCUUCUGGACUGACACUGACACUGAGGUGCGAAAGCGUGGGUAGCAAACAGGAUUAGAUACCCUGGUAGUC
rnacentral:rRNA from 1 species